CGCACAUUGCGCCCGCCAGUAUUCUGGCGGGCAUGCCUGUCCGAGCGUCAUUUCAACCCUCGAACCCCUCCGGGGGGUCGGCGUUGGGGACUUCGGGAACCCCUAAGACGGGAUCCCGGCCCCGAAAUACAGUGGCGGUCUCGCCGCAGCCUCUCAUGCGCAGUAGUUUGCACAACUCGCACCGGGAGCGCGGCGCGUCCACGUCCGUAAAACACCCAACUUCUGAAAUGUUGACCUCGGAUCAGGUAGGAAUACCCGCUGAACUUAA
rnacentral:misc_RNA from 1 species